rnacentral:rRNA from 1 species
CCUACGGGUGGCAGCAGUGGGGAAUAUUGCACAAUGGGGGGAACCCUGAUGCAGCGACGCCGCGUGAGUGAAGAAGUAACUCGUUAUGUAAAGCUCUAUUAGCAGGGAAGAAAAUGACGGUACCUGAGCAAGAAGCCCCGGCUAACUACGUGCCAGCAGCCGCGGUAAUACGUCGGGGGCAAGCGUUAUCCGGAUUUACUGGGUGUAAAGGGAGCGUAGGCGGGAGUGCAAGUCUGGAGUGAAAGGCGGGGGCUCAACCCCCGGACUGCACUGGAAACUGUACGGCUGGAGUGCAGGAGAGGUAGGUGGAAUUCGUGGUGUAGCGGUGAAAUGCGUAGAUAUUAGGAAGAACUCCGAUGGCGAAGGCAGCUUACUGGACUGUAACUGACGUUGAUGCUCGAAAGCGUGGGGAGCAAACAGGAUUAGAUACCCUGGUAGUC